GGUGUUCUUGCUUUGACGGCACCCUAUACUAAAACUGGAACAAUACACAGAAAAUUGGCAUGACUCCUACGCAUGGAUGACACACAAAUUCGUGAAGCAGUCCCUAUGUUU